UUAAGGUGGGCAGGAAGACACGAUUUUUUUCAUUCAGAACCAACCGUUGAUGCUCUUCUUAGACUUCGGCAACGCCGGUUUUAAGAUUUCAAAACUUGAAAGACGAGAUGCCAAAGUUAAUAAAUACUUUGCAUAUAUUUCUUAUCGUUUUGAUUGUUAUUCAAGUUGAGUCAAUCAGUUCUUGGGAGAAAUGGGGGAAUGGCAAGGAUUGGGGAAAACGAAGAAAUAUUCCUUCAAAAUUGAACAUCAAGUCAAAAGGUGUUGCAUCAUUCUUACAAAAAAGUCGAAAAAUGGGCACUAGGACAGCAAAGGAAUUUGAACCAUAUGAAAUGGAAGAUGAAAAAUGGCAUGCAAAUGCAGAAUAAAAACUAUUUUAUGACCGAAUAUGGAAAAUGAUAAACGUUCAAAGAAAAUAUAUGUACAGACAUAGAGAAUAUAAUAUUAAUUAAACUUAACUCAAAA